GACGAACGCUGGCGGCGUGCUUAACACAUGCAAGUCGAACGGAGCACCCUUGAAAGAGACUUCGGUUGAUUGAUAGGAAUGCUUAGUGGCGGACUGGUGCGUAACACGUGAGUAACCUGCCCCGGAGAGUGGAAUAACACAGCGAAAGUUGUGCUAAUACCGCAUAACAUGGUUGUACCGCAUGGUGCUGACCAUCAAAGAUUUAUCGCUUUGGGAUGGACUCGCGUCCGAUUAGCUAGUUGGUGAGGUAACGGCUCACCAAGGCGACGAUCGGUAGCCGGACUGAGAGGUUGACCGGCCACAUUGGGACUGAGAUACGGCCCAGACUCCUACGGGAGGCAGCAGUGGGGAAUAUUGGGCAAUGGGCGCAAGCCUGACCCAGCAACGCCGCGUGAAGGAAGAAGGUCUUCGGAUUGUAAACUUUAAUCGUCGGGGACGAGAACGGACGGUACCCGAGGUGAAGCCACGUCUAACUACGUG
rnacentral:rRNA from 1 species